CAGUAGGGAAUCUUCGGCAAUGGACGAAAGUCUGACCGAGCAACGCCGCGUGAGUGAAGAAGGUUUUCGGAUCGUAAAACUCUGUUGUUAGAGAAGAACGACGAGGAGAGUGGAAAGCUCCUCGUGUGACGGUAUCUAACCAGAAAGGGACGGCUAACUACGUGCCUG
rnacentral:rRNA from 1 species